rnacentral:rRNA from 1 species
AUUCCGGUUGAUCCUGCCGGAGGCCAUUGCUAUCGGAGUCCGAUUUAGCCAUGCUAGUCGCACGGGUUCAGACCCGUGGCGGAUAGCUCAGUAACACGUGGCCAAACUACCCUGUGGACGACAAUAACCUCGGGAAACUGAGGCUAAUUCUCGAUACAGCUCUCAGACUGGAGUGUCGAGAGCUGGAAACGCUCCGGCGCCACAGGAUGUGGCUGCGGCCGAUUAGGUAGACGGUGGGGUAACGGCCCACCGUGCCGAUAAUCGGUACGGGUUGUGAGAGCAAGAGCCCGGAGACGGUAUCUGAGACAAGAUACCGGGCCCUACGGGGCGCAGCAGGCGCGAAACCUUUACACUGCACGACAGUGCGAUAGGGGGACUCCGAGUGCGAGGGCAUACAGUCCUCGCUUUUCUGUACCGUAAGGUGGUACAGGAACAAGUGCUGGGCAAGACCGGUGCCAGCCGCCGCGGUAAUACCGGCAGCACGAGUGAUGCGCCGAUUUUAUUGGGCCUAAAGCGUCCGUAGCU